rfam:Pachysolen tannophilus NRRL Y-2460 unplaced genomic scaffold PACTA_scaffold_10, whole genome shotgun sequence.
AAUCAUAAAACCUAAGGGAAACCGAAAAGAAAACUGAGUGAACUGAAACAUCUAAGUAACUUAAGGAAAAGAAAUCGACAGAGAUUCUGUGAGUAUUGGUGAGAGAAAGCAGAAAAGUUAGUUAAUAAGUAUAUCGUAUAAAUGAUAGAAAAAGGGACAAACUAGUUCUAAAACUAAAUACUAUUAGUAAAUAUGAAUAAGUACCGAAAGGGAAAAUCAAUAGAUUAGUUGUUUUAUAAGCAAUUAAAGAUAAAAAAAAAUCAAUAAUGUACCUUUUGUAUAAUGGGUCAGCAAGUUAUUAUUAUUAGCAAAAUAAAGAUAUUAGAAUGAAAAUGAGAAUAAGUAGUUAAUAAUAAUAAACCCGAAAGUAAAUGAUCUUACCAUGAGCAGGUGGUUAAUCGAGAAAUCGAGAUCGACCGAACAGGUUAAUGUUGCAAUAUUAUCUGAUGACUUGUGGUAUGUGGAGAAAGUCAAAUCUGAUUUACAAAUAGCUGGUUUUUUGCGAAAUAUAUUUAAGUAUAGCAUUUAUAGAAUAUUUAGUCGGUAAAGCAAUUAAUAAUAAUUGGGGUUCUGAUAAAGAAUUAUCAAUAUUAUUUAAUCUCAUAAUGAUUACAAUAUAAUUAUAAAUAGUCAGAUUAUUGGUGAUAAGGUCGAUAAUCAAAAGGAAAACAGUCCAGAUUAAUAGAUAAGGUUCCAAAAUAUAUAUUAAGUGAAAAUAAUAUUAAAUAAUUAUUAAACAAUUAGUAGAUAGGUUUGAUAGUAACUAUUCUAUAAUAAUCGUGUAACAACGUACUAAUUAUUAUAUAAUUUAAUUAUUUAAUAGAUAAUAAUCGGAUCUAAAAUAUAUUACCGAAUCUUUAAUUAUGAUUAUAUAUUAUUAAAUAUAAUUAUAAGGUAGCAAAACAUUUAAUGAUAAUAUAAUAUAUUAUAUAUAUUAUAAUAUUUAAAUUAUUCUAAUAAAUAAUAAUUUAUAUUAGAAUUAUUAAUAAAAAAUAAUUAAAUAUAUUAAUUAAAUAGAGAAUGCUGACAUGAGUAACGUAAAAAUGGUAAAAUCCAUUUCACUUUGUAUCUGAGGUUUUAAUAUAAAAUCGGUCCAUAAUUAUUUAAUUAAAAAGUUAAAUGAGAUAGGUAAUUAAUAAAUUAUAUAAAUGACUAUUAUUAUAUUAAUAAUAAUUAAUAUAUCUUUAUAAUAGUACAGGAAAAUAAAUAAUAAAAUACCGUAAUUAAACCGACACAGGUAGAUUAGUAAGAAAUGAAAGUGAAUGAGUUAAUUAUAGUUAAUGAACUCGGCAAAUCAAACCUCUGACGUUAGUCAAAAAGAGGCAAUAAAGCAAAUAUUAUACGACUGUUUACUAAAAACACAGCACUUUGCAAAAACGAAAGUUGUUGAAUAAAGUGUGAAUUCUGCCCUAUGUUUAAUAAUAAAAAAAUAAAUUAUUUGGUUUAUUUUCUAAAGUUAAAUAAAUGGCGGCUUUAUACUGAGAGUCAUAAUGUAGCGAAAUUCAUUGGCCACUAAUUAUGGUCCUGCAUGAAUGGAGUAACGAUAUAAUAACUGUAUCAACUAUAAGCUCAGUGAAAUUG